AUGGGGUCUGGAUCAGUGACUCUGAAGCAAAAGAAACGAGUGAAACAUACAAAGAACAAGUACUUGAAGCCUGGUGCCCUGGCUCAGAUUCGUUAUAGUAGGAGCACAAGCAGGGAUAUAGGGAAGAAACGGAUUCUGUUGAAUGUGGAGAAGGAUGAUGAGCUGGAGAUAUCACCACAUGCCGAGGUUGUGUUUGAAAGCAGUACACCAAUUAUGUCUCCAGCAAGACUCAGUUUUGAGACAUUUAGUGGCAUCAAGGGACAGUUGUUGCCAACUACUCCAAAGACUCCUCAAGCAGCUGAAUGUGAUGGCCAUUCAAGGCUUGAGUCACUUCCUCUUGAUCUGCUGAUCAAGAUCGUCUGUUACUUGCAUCAUGACCAGCUGAAGGCUGUUUUCCACGUUUCAUCAAGGAUCCGAAAGGCAGUGGAACUGGCACGGCAGUACCAUUUCAACUACACCACUCCAGAUCGCAGCAGGCAGGAACUGCUCCAAAACAAGACCCCUCUCCGGACUGAGCACUGGCCUUUCAUGAGCAGAAUAGAUGGCAAGGAUGUGAGGGUGGCCACCCCGAGAACCCCAAAGGCUCCAAAACACGGCCCUCGGCCUUCACGUUUUAAGCUGCUCGACGUGAAGCCGAUCACAGCCGUUCUUUUCCCAGAUUCGUUGCCUUCAAAAAAGCGCCGUCUGCGGCGUCUGAUGCCGCCAGGAUUGCCAAGGCCUGUACCCAAAGCGGCAGCCUCUCCCAGAGUUUUACUAUACGAGGAAGAGCUUUGCGAAGCGGUGGCGCAGAAUAAGCUUCUAUGA
rnacentral:rRNA from 1 species